UACGGAGGUGGCAAGCGUUGCUCGGAAUCACUGGGCGUAAAGGGCGCGUAGGCGGGGAGGUAAGUCGGGUGUGAAAUCCCUCGGCCCAACCGAGGAACUGCGCCCGAGACUGCUUCUCUUGAGUCCCGGAGAGGAAGAUGGAAUUCCCGGUGUAGCGGUGAAAUGCGUAGAUAUUGGGAGGAACACCAGUGGCGAAGGCGGCUCACUGGACCGGUACUGACGCUGAGGCGCGAAAGCGUGGGGAGCAAACAGG
rnacentral:rRNA from 1 species